rnacentral:rRNA from 1 species
GAUGAACGCUGGCGGCGUGCCUAAUACAUGCAAGUCGAACGAAGCGGGGACGGGUGAGUAACACGUGGAUAACCUCCUAUAAGACUGGGAUAACUUCGGGGAACCGUAGCUAAACCGGCUCCUUAUAGAUGGAUCCGCGCUGCAUUAGCUAGUUGGUAAGGUAACGGCUUACCAAGGCAACUAUGCAUAGCCGACCUGAGAGGGUGAGCGGCCAAACUGGAAAGUAGACACGGUCCAGACUCCUACGGGAGGCAGCAGUAGGGAAUCUUCCGCAAUGGGCGAAAGCCUGACGCAGCAACGCCGCGUGAGUGAUGAAGGCCUUCGGAUCGUAAAGCUCUUUUAGUAGGGAAGCGGUACCUAAACAGAAAGCCAGGGCUAACUACGUGCAAGCAGCCGCGGUAAUAC